UGUGUGUUCAUAGUACAGCCCUUGGAGUAUUUUUACGGCCUUUGGAGGAAUUUGAAGUAGCCCCUCGAAUGAAAAAGGUUCCCCACCCCUGCUUUAUGCAUCCUCUCCUGUACUGUGAUGUCAGGACCUGCAUCGUUGGCCUUCCCCAUUGCCUCCAGUGUCACACUGAAGAGGUCGGAGCUGUAGCCAUGCAUAUCAAGUGGCACACUAGAUCCCACAAACAUGGCUGACUGGAUGGAUUGAUGCCAGCUACUGUCAGGGGUGGACUGGGGCAGUAUUCAGCGAAGACCGGUCCGCCAGGCACAGAGAGCAGUGGCGGGAAAAUUCCACACAGGGCCCCAUGGCAAGACACUGCUAGGGCCCCCCAUACAGCUUGCCAAGCUCACAAUAGUGCCCCCACGCCCAACACGGGAGGGCCCUGGGCCCAGGGGCAAGCGCCCUGCUCGCCCUCCCUAUAGCUCCGCCCCUGACUGAGAGACAAUGAAGUCUGCUGUGACAACAAUUUUAGUGAUAUAUUGUAAGCUAAUUUGACCACAACAGCCAAACUGAAUAUGUAAAUCGCCGAUUUCGGACUCAGAGAGGUCUGCUGUAGCGGCAUGAGGACUGAAACCACUACACUGAGGGGAGGGGAGGACCAGGCCAAAAUCAUCAACAGUCCACCAGGCAAAUGCCCUGUAUGCCCUAUGGCCAAACCAGCCAUGUCCAUCCACCGUGGUCAGACAGUGAAAUAUGCAAUAGUCUGAUGAACAGCUGGCCCGUCCUUGCAGCAAGGGGCACAAGGAGAGAGAGAGAGAGAGACGGAUGCCUUGUGAUUCCUUUGCGGCAUAAGACUUGAGUACUGGUGACAUGUUUUCCUCCCCUGCCAUGUAGUAAGAGACCGCGGUUUACAAAAGCACUCACAGAGGAAAUGUGAGGGUCUGCUUUGGCAUAAACAAAAGAAGGCUCUUUUAUUUUAUCCUGUCAUUGCUCAUUGCUAAGAACCUGGAGAGUGUGUUUAUUAUGUUAUAACAUCUUUUCUGUUGGGAUGUAAUGUGUGCUGUACAAUAUGUCAGGAAUUUCCAAGUCCAAGGAUAUGACGACCUAAAAACCCGAGUUGGGUCUAACUGAAGGCAGUAACUUGUUGAGUUUUGUAAUAACGCUCCCACUGUUUGGACAAAAAAAAAAACCAAGCAGUCGUGUAAUUAAGUGAAACUCACGUACGUUGUUAUUUAGUCUUGCAAACAGUUUCUACACACAAAACACUUCAAUCAAUGUCCUUGGUGGAGAAGGCAAUUUUUUGGAGCAGAGCUCGGGAUGGUUGAGGAACGUGAAUGGUCAUUCAAAUUUCGGACGAUAUUAACAAAAAUACAAUUUCAGCCACAUCAUUAAAAGUAAUAACACUAUUUAACAGUGUCCUUGAAAUGUCCUCUGCUGCCAGUGAGCCAACCAGGCCUUGGAAUCAUUCAAACACCCCACCCCCAUUCCCACCCUCCGUCCUCUGUCCUGCAGCUAUCACUGACAGUGGUGGGUGGAUGGAUGGAUGGAUAUCAACCCUGUCCGCAGUAUUGACUGGCAAAGAUAAAAGUCUUAGAUAUCAGGUCUUCGAGGACAGUUUCAUUAACACUGAAGUCGGUGAAAAUACAAAGAUAAGGGCUCUGGCGUUUACAUUUGCAUUCGCCUGACCGGGACAGAGGGGAAAGCCUGGGAAGUUGUCUAUGGAGCGAUGAGGGCAUGAAACACCCCUGGAGAGAAAAAAGUAGACGUUUAGUAUUGAUUGCCACAAUUACCUUGUGGUUUAAUCUUGCUACUGAUCGUUACAAAAUAAUCAAAAUACACAAUUAAAUCAGAACUAAUUAAAUUAAAAUAAGUUUCCAGUCAGGGGGGAAAUAGGUGAUGCUGAUGUGUAAUCAUCGUUAAAUCACAAGGCACUGACAGGGCAAUGCAUAUCACAGUGCGCACACAUGCAAUAAAUGUGCAAUUCAGUUCAGCACCAUGGACAGAGAUUGAGGAAAUCACUCAGGAGACACGGGAAAGGAAUUGGAUUUAAGGCUAUCUGGCUUUACCAGGCUUAUGAAAGCAAGUUUAACCCAGAUUCUAGAUUGUAACUUCGUAAUAGUUGUUACAGACCGUGAAGCCUCUUUCUGUUAGACUGAUGGAUGUGCAUGACUAUACUUCAGUUUACACAGGACAGAAUAAUAUAUUGCAUAUACUGCCAUAGAAAAGCAAAGUGCAGUAACUUGUCAAAAUUGGGUUAAGACUGAAAAUGGUUUUCAUAACACCUCCUUUGUCUUGUGAUACAACCUUAUGGUCCAAAUGUGUCCAGUUUUAGAGAUAUUGCCAUGACAAAUUCAUAGUUACUCACCCAACCUAAUGCCAAGGCUUUUUUUCUCAGUUUCAAUGUUGGCGUAGUUACUGCACUUUGCCUUUGUAGGGCAGUAUAGAGUCACUGCGUGCAGGCAUAUGACACUAAUGGCUCCAAUGUUACUGAUUUUCUGACAUUUAAAUGGUUUUAAUA